UGCCCUAUAGCUCAAUGGCUGAGCGGCCCGCUGUUAACGGGAAGGUUGUAGGUUCGACUCCUACUGGGGCAGCCA
rnacentral:tRNA from 1 species